rnacentral:tRNA from 1 species
GGGCGCAUAGCUCAGCUGGUUAGAGCGCACGCCUGAUAAGCGUGAGGUCGGUGGUUCGAUUCCACUUGUGCCCA